CCGUAGGGGGCUCUCUUUGUCCUUCUUUCCUGGUCUUCCCUCUCGCUUCUUCUUCUCUUUCCUUUCUCCUUUCCCUCUCCCUUUCUCCCCCCUUCCCCUUCUUUUCAUCCUUGCCAGCUGGAGGGACGCAGGGGUGACUGGAAUUCCCGGUGUAGCGGUGAAAUGCAUUGAUAUCGGGAGGAACUCCAACAGCGAAGGCAGGUCACUGGGCGUUUCCUGACGCUGAGGCGCGAAAGCGUGGGUAGCAAACAG
rnacentral:rRNA from 1 species